rnacentral:rRNA from 1 species
UCGAACGGCAGCACGGAGCUUGCUCUGGUGGCGAGUGGCGAACGGGUGAGUAAUAUAUCGGAACGUACCCUAGAGUGGGGGAUAACGUAGCGAAAGUUACGCUAAUACCGCAUACGAUCUAAGGAUGAAAGUGGGGGAUCGCAAGACCUCAUGCUCGUGGAGCGGCCGAUAUCUGAUUAGCUAGUUGGUAGGGUAAAAGCCUACCAAGGCAUCGAUCAGUAGCUGGUCUGAGAGGACGACCAGCCACACUGGAACUGAGACACGGUCCAGACUCCUACGGGAGGCAGCAGUGGGGAAUUUUGGACAAUGGGCGAAAGCCUGAUCCAGCAAUGCCGCGUGAGUGAAGAAGGCCUUCGGGUUGUAAAGCUCUUUUGUCAGGGAAGAAACGGUGAAAGCUAAUAUCUUUUGCUAACGACGGUACCUGAAGAAUAAGCACCGGCUAACUACGUGCCAGCAGCCGCGGUAAU